rnacentral:tRNA from 3 species
GGGACCGUGGUUCAACGGGAGAAUGCUCGGACGGCAUCCGAGCGGUCCGGGUUCGAUUCCCGGCGGUUCCA